rnacentral:ncRNA from 1 species
CCAAAGGCUCUUUUCAGAGCCAUUAACCUAUAUCUUGCCAGUGAUC